rnacentral:rRNA from 1 species
GACGGAGGGUGCAAGCGUUGUUCGGAUUGACUGGGCGUAAAGGGCGUGUAGGCGGUUGGCCAAGUCUGAUGUGAAAGCCCGAGGCUCAGCCUCGGAAGUGCGUCGGAAACUAGUCGGCUGGAGCGCGAUAGAGGAGGGUGGAAUUCCUGGUGUAGCGGUGAAAUGCGUAGAUAUCAGGAGGAACACCGGCGGCGAAGGCGGCCCUCUGGAUCGUUGCUGACGCUGAGACGCGAAAGCGUGGGGAGCAAACGGG